GAUGAACGCUGGCGGCGUGCUUAACACAUGCCAGUCGAACGGGAAACCUUUUAUUGAAGCUUCGGCAGAUUUAGCUGGUUUCUAGUGGCGGACGGGUGAGUAACGCGUGGGUAACCUGCCUUAUACAGGGGGAUAACAACCAGAAAUGGUUGCUAAUACCGCAUAAGCGCACAGGACCGCAUGGUCCGGUGUGAAAAACUCCGGUGGUAUAAGAUGGACCCACGUUGGAUUAGCUAGUUGGCAGGGUAACGGCCUACCAAGGCGACGAUCCAUAGCCGGCCUGAGAGGGUGAACGGCCACAUUGGGACUGAGACACGGCCCAGACUCGUACGGGAGGCAGCAGUGGGGAAUAUUGCACAAUGGGGGAAACCCUGAUGCAGCGACGCCGCGUGAAGGAAGAAGUAUCUCGGUAUGUAAACUUCUAUCAGCAGGGAAGAUAGUGACGGUACCUGACGAAGAAGCCCCGGCUAACUACGUG
rnacentral:rRNA from 1 species